UACGUAGGGUGCGAGCGUUGUCCGGAAUUAUUGGGCGUAAAGGGCUCGUAGGCGGUCUGUCGCGUCGGGAGUGAAAACUCAGGGCUUAACCCUGAGCCUGCUUCCGAUACGGGCAGACUAGAGGUAUGCAGGGGAGAACGGAAUUCCUGGUGUAGCGGUGAAAUGCGCAGAUAUCAGGAGGAACACCGGUGGCGAAGGCGGGACUCUGGGCCGAUACUGACGCUGAGGAGCGAAAGCGUGGGGAGCAAACAGG
rnacentral:rRNA from 1 species